UUGGUUAAGUUAGAAAGGGCGCACGGUGGAUGCCUUGGCACUAGGAGCCGAAGAAGGACGGGACUAACACCGAUAUGCUUUGGGGAGCUGUACGUAAGCGUUGAUCCAGAGAUUUCCGAAUGGGGGAACCCACUAUCUUUAGUCGGAUAGUAUCCUUACGUGAAUACAUAGCGUGAGGAAGGCAGACCCAGGGAACUGAAACAUCUAAGUACCUGGAGGAAGAGAAAGAAAAAUCGAUUUCCUGAGUAGCGGCGAGCGAAACGGAAAGAGCCCAAACCAAGAAGCUUGCUUCUUGGGGUUGUAGGACACUCUAUACGGAGUUACAAAAGAAAGUUAUAAAUGAAGCGGUCUGGAAAGGCCCGCCAAAGACGGUAACAGCCCGGUAGUUGAAAUGGCUUUCCCUCCAGAGUGGAUCCUGAGUACGGCGGAACACGUGAAAUUCCGUCGGAAUCCGGGAGGACCAUCUCCCAAGGCUAAAUACUCCCUAGUGACCGAUAGUGAACCAGUACCGUGAGGGAAAGGUGAAAAGCACCCCGGAAGGGGAGUGAAACAGUUCCUGAAACCGUGUGCCUACAAGUAGUUAGAGCCCGUUAAUGGGUGAUAGCGUGCCUUUUGUAGAAUGAACCGGCGAGUUACGAUUUGUUGCAAGGUUAAGCGGAAAAAGCGGAGCCGUAGCGAAAGCGAGUCUGAAUAGGGCGCAUAAGUAACAGGUCGUAGACCCGAAACCAGGUGAUCUACCCAUGUCCAGGAUGAAGGUAAGGUAAUACUUACUGGAGGUCCGAACCCACGCACGUUGAAAAGUGCGGGGAUGAGGUGUGGGUAGCGGAGAAAUUCCAAUCGAACUUGGAGAUAGCUGGUUCUCUCCGAAAUAGCUUUAGGGCUAGCCUCGAGGUAAAGAGUCAUGGAGGUAGAGCACUGUUUGGACUAGGGGCCCUUCUCGGGUUACCGAAUUCAGAUAAACUCCGAAUGCCAUGUACUUAUACUCGGGAGUCAGACUGCGAGUGAUAAGAUCCGUAGUCGAAAGGGAAACAGCCCAGACCACCAGUUAAGGUCCCCAAAUAUAUGUUAAGUGGAAAAGGAUGUGGGGUUGCUUAGACAACCAGGAUGUUGGCUUAGAAGCAGCCACCAUUGAAAGAGUGCGUAAUAGCUCACUGGUCGAGUGACCCCGCGCCGAAAAUGUACCGGGGCUAAACAUAUUACCGAAACUGUGGAUGAACCUCUUUAGAGGUUCGUGGUAGGAGAGCGUUCUAAGGGCGGUGAAGUCAGACCGGAAGGACUGGUGGAGCGCUUAGAAGUGAGAAUGCCGGUAUGAGUAGCGAAAGAAGGGUGAGAAUCCCUUCCACCGAAUAUCUAAGGUUUCCUGAGGAAGGCUCGUCCGCUCAGGGUUAGUCGGGACCUAAGCCGAGGCCGAUAGGCGUAGGCGAUGGACAACAGGUAGAGAUUCCUGUACCAGUGCUAAUUGUUUAACCGAUGGGGUGACACAGAAGGAUAGGGAAUCGCACGAAUGGAAAUGUGCGUCCAAGCAGUGAGUGUGAGAAGUAGGCAAAUCCGCUUCUCGCGAAGCAUGAGCUGUGAUGGGGAAGGAAAUUAAGUACGGAAGUUCCUGAUUUCACGCUGUCAAGAAAAGCCUCUAGGAAGAGUAGUACUGCCCGUACCGCAAACCGACACAGGUAGAUGAGGAGAGAAUCCUAAGGUGAGCGAGAGAACUCUCGUUAAGGAACUCGGCAAAAUGACCCCGUAACUUCGGGAGAAGGGGUGCUCUAUUAGGGUGCAAGCCCG
rnacentral:rRNA from 1 species